AUUGAACGCUGGCGGCAGGCCUAACACAUGCAAGUCGAGCGGAUGAGUGGAGCUUGCUCCAUGAUUCAGCGGCGGACGGGUGAGUAAUGCCUAGGAAUCUGCCUGGUAGUGGGGGACAACGUUUCGAAAGGAACGCUAAUACCGCAUACGUCCUACGGGAGAAAGCAGGGGACCUUCGGGCCUUGCGCUAUCAGAUGAGCCUAGGUCGGAUUAGCUAGUAGGUGAGGUAAAGGCUCACCUAGGCGACGAUCCGUAACUGGUCUGAGAGGAUGAUCAGUCACACUGGAACUGAGACACGGUCCAGACUCCUACGGGAGGCAGCAGUGGGGAAUAUUGGACAAUGGGCGAAAGCCUGAUCCAGCCAUGCCGCGUGUGUGAAGAAGGUCUUCGGAUUGUAAAGCACUUUAAGUUGGGAGGGAGGGCAGUAAGCUAAUACCUUGCUGUUUUGACGUUACCAACAGAAUAAGCACCGGCUAACUUCGUGCCAGCCGCCGCCGUAAAAC
rnacentral:rRNA from 1 species